AGAAAUAAAAACACACACAGGUGUGUUCGAUCGACAGGAGGAGCAGGGAGAAAGGGGUGAAACCCUAACUCAACAAAACCUUCAAAUUGGAGGAUCAAACGAAGGCCAAAUUCGGAUUGGAAUAUACAUAAACGAUCACCAAGUCAAGGGGAUCGAAAGUUGACUCUAAACAAGCUAGGUGGGAGCUUGGAAAGGAACGGGUCAAACGGAUCAUGGAUGCAAAGAAUGUUUGCGCGGACGCGAGGUGAUUGCCAAGAGUGCCCGGAUGAAGAUCAAGCUCGAAGAAGAACCGAACAUGAUAAAGUUAAAAGCUUCCGCGCGGCGUUUCGUCGUAUCUUUUAAACGACGAAUUCAAUUACAUUAAGUUCUUUUACUUUUAUUGUAAAAGUUUUAGUAAACUCGUAUUGACAUACUUACGUGUAAUUGUACAAACAUGCAUUUUUACGAAACUUAUAUAUAUAAUAUUGUAUUUAGCAA